rnacentral:rRNA from 1 species
CUUACACAUGCAGUCGAGCGGUAGCACAGGGGAGCUUGCUCCCUGGGUGACGAGCGGCGGACGGGCGAGUAAUGUCUGGGAAACUGCCUGAUGGAGGGGGAUAACUACUGGAAACGGUAGCUAAUACCGCAUAACGUCGCAAGACCAAAGAGGGGGACCUUCGGGCCUCUUGCCAUCAGAUGUGCCCAGAUGGGAUUAGCUAGUAGGUGGGGUAAUGGCUCACCUAGGCGACGAUCCCUAGCUGGUCUGAGAGGAUGACCAGCCACACUGGAACUGAGACACGGUCCAGACUCCUACGGGAGGCAGCAGUGGGGAAUAUUGCACAAUGGGCGCAAGCCUGAUGCAGCCAUGCCGCGUGUGUGAAGAAGGCCUUCGGGUUGUAAAGCACUUUCAGCGAGGAGGAAGGUGGUGAGCUUAAUACGUUCAUCAAUUGACGUUACUCGCAGAAGAAGCACCGGCUAACUCCGUGCCAGCAGCCGCGGUAAUACGGAGGGUGUAAGCGUUAAUCGGAAUUACUGGGCGUAAAGCGCACGCAGGCGGUUUGUUAAGUCAGAUGUGAAAUCCCCGGGCUCAACCUGGGAACUGCAUUUGAAACUGGCAAGCUAGAGUCUCGUAGAGGGGGGUAGAAUUCCAGGUGUAGCGGUGAAAUGCGUAGAGAUCUGGAGGAAUACCGGUGGCGAACGCGGCCCCCUGGACGAAGACUGACGCUCAGUGCGAAAGCGUGGGGAGCAAACAGGAUUA